AUUGAACGCUGGCGGCAGGCCUAACACAUGCAAGUCUAGCGAUCGUCUGACUUGUUUGUAAUUUCUUGGAAACUGCCUGAUGUCUUUGGAUAACUACUGUAAACGCUAGCUAAUACCCCAUACCAUCCUAUGUGCCCAGUUGGGAUUAGCUAGUAGGUGGGGUAAUGGCUCACCUAGGCGACGAUCCCUAGCUGGUCUGAGAGGAUGACCAGCCACACUGGAACUGAGACACGGGCCAGACGCAUACGGGAGGCAGCAGUGGGGAAUAUUGCAGAAUGGGCGCAAGCCUGAUGCAGCAAUGCCGCGUGUGUGAAGAAGGCCUUCGGGUUGUAAAGCACUUUCAGCGGGGAGGCGGUAAAGGAAGAAGAAGCACAGGCUAACUCCGUGCCAGCAGCCGCGGUAAUUA
rnacentral:rRNA from 1 species